rnacentral:rRNA from 1 species
UACGGAGGUGGCAAGCGUUGUUCGGAUUUACUGGGUGUAAAGGUCAUGUAGGUGUUCUAUUAAGUCGGGUGUGAAAUCCCUUGGCUCAACCAAGGAACUGCAUUCGAUACUGAUAGAAUUGAGUACGAGAGAGGUAAGCGGAAUUCCAGAAGUAAGGGUGAAAUCUGUAGAUAUCUGGAAGAACACCAUUAGCGAAGGCGGCUUACUGGCUCGAUACUGACACUGAAAUGAGAAAGCUAGGGGAGCGAACAGG